CGUUUACAACAGCAGGCGCACGCCGCUCUCGCGCUAACGAUUCGAAUUCUCUACAGAAGACUGAAUUUAAAGAAUUAAAAGUUCACGUACUAUUUUCUAUUCAUUAUGUUAUUUCGAUAUAAACUUGUAAGCUUUCGCAAACGAUGGUCCAUUUAUAUAUUAUGUAUAUCAUACUUCAUGAUGUACUGAAUUUUCAUUAGUAAAAGAAAUUAAUUAAGAAGGUGAAUUCGCGAACUUUUGUGAUUAUGUCUUUCGAAUUAAUUCCACGACGUUCUCCCUACAUGCCUUUUAACCUACGAAAUGCAUAUAUAAAGAUCUAUAAAUUCUAUUCAACAGUUCGAAGCAAUAACUGUAAUAAUAAUUAAUUUCUCAUAAAUUACAUUCGAAACUUGGAUAAAAAUUAUAGUAAUUGAAAGUGUAAACUUUGAAAUACAUGUGUUUAGAAUGUAAAUUGAUCUAAUCAAUCUGCACAAGUUAAAAUCAAAUUACACUUAAUGUAAUUUGGUUUUUUUUCUACUAACAGGUAAAACAUCGGAAAUGUAGAAGAAGAAUAGACACAUACAAGGAGAACUUUUAAACAACAACUAGAUUAUAGAUACAAGUUUUUUCAAUCAAAGAUGAGUAGAGAGAACGCCGAUUUAAUGUUUAAAAAGUUAGCCGAAAAGUGCGAACAAACAGUAAGGACCUCUAGUGACCAACGCUCGAACUAUACGUACAUUUCCUCGAUAGUGCUUUUGGUGGGAGAAACGUGUAAACAACAAUAAUAAUAUCAAGAGCAGUCAGCAAUAACUAACAGCCACCACUAGCAACCAGCAGCAAUCAGUUUGUUAGAAAUAAUUAUACGAUGUAAUAAAAACUAAGAUUAUUUAUUGCAGGAUAAUUAUAUAAAAUGUGUUUAGAAAGAGUUUCAAUAAACCAAAGUAGUUUAACAGCA